GCCCGGUUAGCUCAAUCGGUAGAGCGUGAGACUCUUACAACGAGCUCCCGCGGGGUUCCACCUGCGGGAUCACGUGAUCUCAAGGUUGCGGGUUCGACCCCCGCAUCGGGCU